AACGCGAAGAACCUUACCUGGGCUUGAACCGCACAGGACCAGCUUGAGAAAUCAGGCCUUCCCGCAAGGGACCUGUGUAGAGGUGCUGCAUGGCUGUCGUCAGCUCGUGCCGUGAGGUGUUGGGUUAAGUCCCGCAACGAGCGCAACCCUCGCCCUUAGUUGCCAUCAUUUAGUUGGGCACUCUAAGGGGACUGCCGGUGAUAAGCCGCGAGGAAGGUGGGGAUGACGUCAAGUCCUCAUGGCCCUUACGGGCUGGGCUACACACGUGCUACAAUGGCGGUGACAGUGGGAUGCAAUGGAGUGAUCCUGCGCAAAUCUCAAAAAGCCGUCUCAGUUCGGAUUGUGCUCUGCAACUCGAGCACAUGAAGUUGGAAUCGCUAGUAAUCGCAGAUCAGCACGCUGCGGUGAAUACGUUCCCGGGCCUUGUACACACCGACUGUAC
rnacentral:rRNA from 1 species